rfam:Felis catus isolate Cinnamon breed Abyssinian chromosome F1, whole genome shotgun sequence.
GCCUGGGUGGCUCAGUCGGUUGAGCGUCCGACUUCAGCUCGGGUCAUGAUCUCACAGUCUGUGAGUUCGAGCCCCGCGUCGGGCC